AUAAAUGCUUUAUUGAUUUGUAGUACAGAGGAUUCUCCUACACAAGAGCAAAAUCUACUUAUAUUCAGAUCAAUUCUGCACUUAUUAGUCAACAGCUUUGGGAAUGGAAGUAGGCCAAGUAAUUAUUAGUGCUAUUAAAAAGCCCAAAAAAAGAGGUACCAGGAGUAAGAAGAAAAGAUUAACAUUUGAAGAUGAAAUAAAUGUCACAAAAUCUGAAGAGGACGUAACAUCAAAAAGUUCAGAACAAAUAAUUACAGCAAAAAGCACCAACUUUCUAGCAUUUGGCUUUAUCCUCAUUAAAAGCUUCUCUCAGAAGGGUUCAGAUAUAGUUGGAGCAACCUAUAACAGCUGGAGUAAAAGACUGGUUUUGGCAGAUGGCAAAGGAUUUUUCAGCUUGGAUUUGCGUUCUUCUAAUUGUAAUGUUAGAAGAGAGCUAACUUUUGAAAAGUAUCAGUUCAGCAUGGCAAGAAUCAUCAUUUAUGCCGAAAAAUUCAAUGUGUAUUUUGUGCUACAAAAAGAUUAUGUUAUAAAGGUUCAUAACAAAGACUAUACUGAGAUUUGUUCGGUAGAAAAUGCAGGUUCAGGACGGUUAACAUUUAUAUCAUUCAACCCCAUGAGAGAUGAACUUAUCAGUGGAGGAAUCAAUGGAGUAAAGACUUGGAAGUUUAAAGAAAAGAAGAUUCCAACUCAUGCUAAUCCUGUUCCAAUGUACAAUUACAGCCUUUUCCCCAGUACAGAAUAUCCAUACAUGGGGAAAAAGUGGUGUACAAAUAUGGAUUUUGAUGUCAUUAUGCAAAGAUACUACUGCUUUUCUGAAGGUCACUUCUUCUGCUACGACAUCAAUGGGAAAUUGCUACUUGAGAUACUAAAUGCCCACCAGACUGCUAUUCUCUCAUGUAUCUACUCAUCUGAUGUUAAAAUUUUACUUACUUCCUCUAGAGGCAGUGAAAUAAAAUCUUGGAAUGAUCAAGGCUGCUUGUUGCAUAUAUUUCAAGGACAUUCUAAAACUGUCACAAAGCUUCUACUGCAUCCAAAUACAGCUUCAUUAUUUAUCUCUGGGUCACUAGAUGGAUCAAUCAAACUCUGGUCAUUUGAUACAAUGGACAUUUUUUAUAGCUUAUCACCAUUCCAAGAAGGAAUACUAUGGAUUGGUACAGUGGAAGAUAAAUAUCUAUACUGUUGUUCUGCCCGCAGUCUUCAUAUAUUCAAUUUGAACACCUUUACCAGCUUUUGGACUCGUGUCAAUAGUCCAAUAAGUGAUAUGUAUGUCUGUGGUGCUGAUGGGAAGUCGAACAGGGUGAUUGCCAUGGGUACUGACAACAGUUUAAGGAUAUACUCCCUUCAUAGUGGGACACGAUUAUGCACAGUUCUGCCACCUCCUUAUCCCCCUCUAAUCCAGCCAAUUAUACACUUUACUUACAACCAAGCUAGUGGAACUAUUUACUUUCUCUUGACACCGUGGGAUAUAUGGGUCUACACAGCAAGAACUGAUCCUGCAUGUCGAACAGCAGUGUGGACCAUUGGAGAGCUACAGCAACACCUGUAUAGAAAACACCCCUUAGCCUCCUGUGUUCAGAAGAAUGAAUAUUUUCAGCAUACUCGAAGAAGAAAUUUUAGGACACCAGCAAAAUGCGAAUGCCUCUGCAGCUUGUCUUCACCAUUGUGCUACUUGACAGAUGAAGGAAUGGUGUAUGCAGAUAGUCAGGAAUUUCUGGUUCUUGGUAUGCAGGAUGGAAGAGUAUUGUUUCUUCAUACAUCAAUACAGAAUUUGGUAUAUUAUGAGCUGAUAGCCUACAGAGAUCCAGUUAUCCACUUAAAACAUGAUGUGGUUCACCAGGAACUCAUAAUAAUGUAUCAAAGAUCAAAAAGCAAACUGAUACACUUCAGAAGCUUGCCCGCUCUGGAGUUGGUCUUCCAAGCUGAAGUAUCAAAUGACACUCUGGUCUUUACCAGGCUGAACAGAUCACUAUUUGUUGGCCUGGCAUCUGGAACUGUGGAUAUUUUAAACAUUCUAAAUGCAGAUGAAGAAGCAGCGUUUUCUGAAAAAAAGUUGAAUAAUAGUGGGCAAAGUGAAAGAAUAUUUGCUUCAUCUUGCUCAGAAGACUGCCACAAUGGCCCUGUAGUAGCAGUUGAUUCUUGCAAGGAUCUUUCUGUCUUUUUAAGUUGUGGUUCAGAUUCCAUGGUAAAACUAUGGGAUAUGCAGAAGAAUCUAUUGGCUGAGAUCACCCUUGACAACACUUUAACCACAGCCUGUUUCCUGAAUAGUUGUGGUGACAUUUUACUGGCUUUCAAAAGUGAUCUGUAUUUCUUGUCUCACAGUAAGGCAUUGGGUAUAAUGAAACCCAUUGAUACUGCUACUAUUUCAGCAGCAGAAUCUUACAUUUUUGAAAGUCAGCCAACAGAGGAUGAAGAAAAAUAUGAUGUGCCCAAAUCAAUUGAGUUGGCAUCAUAUCUGGAACCUUACAAGGGAUAUGCUUUCACUGAUGACUUCACAUCAGAGCUGCAUGUUUUGCCAAAGAAGAAAGAAAAGCAAUCCUGGAGAUUGGCAAUAGCUCCCUCAGAGGUCUACUGUUCACCCUCUACUUCAGAAGCAUCUCUGAAGAUGUUUGAUUUCCUACUUCAUCCUGGAAUUCCCGACUUAGAAAAACAAGAUAAAGCAGAAAUGUCUGAAAGGAUGAUUGUGACAGAAGGCAGGAAAUAUGUUCCCGGACCAAUGUAUGUACCAUCUGCCAAGUGGGAAAUGCCUUUCUUUGGAGUUUCUCCAUGUUCAUCUCAAGUCCCUGAACAAUUUGGGACAAGAACACAAUCCCAGGAACAGAACGCUGAAGCAGAGAGUGAUGUAUCCACUGUGGAGCCAUUACAGGAAACUCAAAUUGAAAAGCAGCAUCCCAUCAGUGAAGAAACAUCUCCAGAAGUACCUGAAGUAAUACCUGAAAGUGUCUGCUCUUUGGACAGACUACCAGCCUUAGAGCCCAUAACAGAUACAGAUUCUAACAUUUGUGGAAAAAUAGAAGAAAAACAUUCAGGUGGAGAAAGGCAGUUCAGGAGUGUCAAGUUUGGCUCAUGGCAGUCUCCUCAUAGGGCAAGAUCCAAACCCUUGGAUGUGGUUGAAGUUCAGGAAACAAAGACGAAACAUGUGCCCAAAGAGCAUGUGCACAAGAAGCUCUUCAAAACAGAAAAACUGGUUCUCAAAAAGAUACGGACACCAAAACAUGCAAAACACUUUUCAGUGUCAAAGAGUGCUGUGAGAUCAAGAGAUACCAUGUACAUCCCAUAUUCCCGAGCAAGUCAUUCAGUUGUUUCUGUUGGAGGAAAACUAUUCCCUGGCCUUGAAACCAAGGCUUCAACAUCAGUUGGAAAAAGGCCCCUUUCAGGAAAAAAGACUGACCAGCAACAAAAUGAAGAUUAUGAAUCCCCUUAUGAAAAAGAUAUCAUAAGGGUGGUGGCCUGGAGGAGGAAACAAAAUGAAAGGAUUCGCCAAGCAGAGGAACGGCGCCUAUUGCUAGAACUUAGAAAAAGGCCGUGUUCCCGAAACCACUGUUUUACACCUACAAACUCUCAGCAAUAUCAAAAUCUGCAAUCUUCUGAAAACCUUUCUGAAACUUUGUUCACUUUGAUGAAGCCUUGGAUGAAACAACAUCACAGUCGUCCAUACACUGUGAUGGAAGAAACAAUUGUUAAUCUCCCUAGAGACUUCCCUUACAGGUUGGCUUGGGGAAUACCAACUACUGAAGACUUGGACAUAAAACUGUAUCACCCUAAAAUUAAAUUAAGUAAGGAAUUGAAACCUGGCAACCUGCCUAUAGAGAAAAAUAUGCAACCAACAAAAUCAAUCCCAGAUAAAGGGAGAUACAUCUUAAUGAAUGACCCAGUUUCAGCACCUUCUACUCCUGCGCUGAGUCCCCUGGAAAGCAAGCUACUUAGUGUCCGUUUCCCUAAGCAGAAGGAAAAGAUCCUUUGUUCUCUCAUCUCAAAAGUAUCUACAGGACAGCAAGUUUCUGAUGGUGCAAUUUCUCAUCUGUUCUCACACUUUCCUCCUAAACUUUAG
ensembl:lncRNA chromosome unknown C3orf22 homolog